UACGUAGGCAGCAAGCGUUGUUCGGAGUUACUGGGCGUAAAGGGUGUGUAGGCGGUUGUUUAAGUUUGGUGUGAAAUCUCCCGGCUCAACCGGGAGGUGCGCCGAAUACUGAGUGACUAGAGUGCGGGAGAGGAAGUGGAAUUCCUGUGUAGCGGUGAAAUGCGUAGAUAUCAGGAGGAACACCGGUGGUGUAGACGGCUUUCUGGACCGUAACCUGACGCUGAGACACGAAAGCGUGGGUAGCAAACAGG
rnacentral:rRNA from 1 species